AGUUUAGCCUACACUCACCUCCAACACCAGGAGUAGCUGGGAUCCCGUGGAACAUCCUGCAGGCCCAGGCAGCUAUACAGCACAAGAGACCUGGAAAGCAGAGCCAACACUAACUCAAGGGUCCCCUUACACCUUAAGAACUGGGCUCUGGAGAUCAGAGCGUUGUGAACAGCUUUCCUGCUCUCUACAGGAACGGCACAGGAUGCUAAAGGACUGUCAUGGGGGAAUGUCAUGUCAGGCUUUGAGGAUGAACAUCGAGUGCCAUGGGAGUCCUGCCUGUUAGCUGGGUUAGGGUAGGGAAGAGUAGCUGUUAGAACUGGGGCAGCAUCUUGGGCACAGGGGAAGGGCAUUGUUGCAACAUCUUUCAGUGGAAAUGAACUGAGACUAGGUGUCCGGGGCUUUCUGUGUGUGAGGGAAAGUGUGGAGGUAGGUUUUACCCUAAUCUGUGGGAGAUACUGGAGAAAUGAAUAAGGGCAAGCUUAUUGGUUGAUGCGGCAAAGUGGCGGAGGCAAGGCCCAGGAUAGGUCCUGUCUAAUAAGGAAGCCAGCCCAGACACGCCUCAGGAUUUGAAAUGGGGUGAAAACAAAUGUUCAAGGAAGAUGGUCAAACUGAGAUGGAGUGGCUUGAGGAGCAGCGAGAGCUACCGAGGUCGCAGGAGCUAGGAAUAGCCGGCGGAGUCGCAGAAGAAAGGUGGGUACCCUCACAGACAGGGGAACCUGAACUGUGGACCAGCAAUGCCACUUGACAGCGCCCAUCACCUACUGAGACACUGGCCGCGCGGCAAGGGCCGCUGAGCCCCAGAGGAGACGGGACCGGGACACCUAGACCAAAGGGUUCCUAUGAAGAGGGGACCCGGCCACCGCCGCUGUGUACCUGGGGCGUUUGGAGUCCCGGAGAUGGCGACAGAAGCUCGGUGCUCGCUUUUUCCGCCUGCGCCUGCCGGGAAACCCGAUCGGCAGCUCGGCACUCAUCCUCUAACCUUGAGCCUACGCACAUAGCAAGCCAAAUCCAUUGAUCGGCACUCGGCUUUUUUUGCCUGAGCUUGCGCUCUGGAGUAGCUCCGCCUGUCAAGGCUUUUACAGCUCACAUCGCCCACCCUUUUCGCAGAGAGCUGACACAAAUGAGAUAGCAGCAUAGUUUAUUAAGGUUUUUCUUUUUCUUCUGGAGGAAACGGCAGGACUAGGAUCAGAGGCAUUUAAAGAAGAGCUUGGAACUUUGGUCCAUUGUGCACGCACCCUCUGGCAGUCUCUGACACACCGAGUCUCGGUCUUUGGUGCUCAGGUCUUUGGUGCACAGUUGCAACUCCUGCAACUGCACGAAGAUCUUGUCCCAGAGGUCAGAGUUCAGCGGCCCUUGAAUAGAGCAGCCUGUGGGGGUGAGGAGGAGGUAGGUUUAACUUACACACCCACAGGAGGCAUAGUGCUUAUGUUGUACCUCGGAGCCUACAUUUUGGCUUGUCCCAUCAUAAAAAGGACUCAAUAUAUCUGUAUACUGUGGGCCCUCGGAUCUCUGGAGGCUAGUGAAUGCCAGGCCUUGAUCAAGUCAGAGAUCCCAGUAGGCUCAAGGUUGUCAGGGAACUGGAUGAAGCGCACAGCUGCCAGAAAUACCAUUGUGUUGGGAAGAGGGGGUGAGAUACAGGAAAAACCCAGGGACUCCCCUGUGCUCAGUUUUUAUCCUCCAGGGGGAAAGGCUGCCACCCUCAAAUCUCAGCUGGGCAAGGCAGUGGCAGGCCAGGCCAUCAGGCACACUUAUAAGGUGGAGAGUGCGUUGGUGUAACGGGACAAGCUAGCUUAUUAGUAGAUAAGGCAAGGAAGGAGGGAGGGGGGCAGGUUGAGAGAGCAAGCACCCCUUAAGCGGAACUUGGAUCACUGACUGGUGGACAGGAAUGAGGAAAUAAGGUUUUCUGCAAGUAACAAUGAUUUGCUACCCUCCUGACCCAGAAAACCCCGCAAAAACAAAAGGUCCAAAUCAUGCCUGCCCUGGUGGCAUCCGCCUUUAAUCUCAGUCCUCUCCAGGUAGAGAGGAAACUUUACAGAGCUCCAGAACAGCCAGGACUACACAGAGACACCCUGUCUCAAAAAACAACAAACAAUUUGCCACUCCAAAAGGAGGUUCAAAUCUUCAUGAUCAUUUUAAGAAUACCCGAGGAGCUGCCUAGGCUGUGAGGGGGUGUGCAUGUGUAUCUGAAAAAUGUCACUUUAAAGAAGCAAUGUGCAUUGUUUCAGAGGUCUGUCUAUAAAGGUGGAGUUGGAAAAUGUUUGCCAGGCCAGUCAGUCAGUGGCCCCCAAAGAAGUUUUGAUAUAUGUUCUCUUACAAAGUUUGGAUAUAUGUUCUCUCUGGUCACUGUUGAGUUUUUAUGGUGAACUAACCCAUGGGUUCCCCCUGUAAGUAAGUAAGAUGAUUCUCACUGAGAAGGAAUAAACUGUUCCUAGCCAAAAGAGAAGGCUGCACAGAAGAAAGGAUAUCCCACAACCAAAAGCUAAAGGAACAGCUGGGCAGUGGUGCACACCCUUAGCCCCAGCACUCAGGAGGUAGAGGCGGGCAGAUCUCUGUGAGUUCAAGGACAUUUUGAUCUACACAAUGAGUUCCAGGACAGCCAGGCAUAUACAGAAAAACCCUGCUUGAAAACAAAACAAGCUGGGCAGUGGUGGCACACGCCUUUAGUCCCAGCAUUUGGGAGGCAGAGGCAGGCAGAUUUCUGAGUCUAAGGCCAGCCUGGUCUACAAAGUGAGUUCCAGGACAGCCAGGGCUAUACAGAGAAACCCUGUCUUGAAAAACAAAAAACCCAACCAAAAUAACAAAACAAAACAAACAAAAACAAAUUAUUUUGGGACUGGAGAGAUGGCUCAGUGGUUAAGAGCACUGACUACUCUUCCAGAGGUCCUGAGUUCAAUUCCCAGCAACCACAUGGUGGCUCACAAUUAUCUGUAAUGAAAUCUGAUGCCUUCACACUUGUCUGGUGUGUCUGAGGACAGCUACAGUGUACUCAUUUGGCGGUGCACACCUUUAAUCCCAGCACCCUGGAGGCAGUGAGUCUCGAGUUUGAUGCCAUCUUGGUUCCAGGACAGCUAGGGCUACAUAGAGAAACCCUGUCUCGAAAAUAUAAAUAAAUAAAUAAAUAAAUAAAUAAAUAAAUUCAAAUUGC
rnacentral:lncRNA from 1 species